rnacentral:rRNA from 1 species
AUUGAACGCUGGCGGCAGGCCUAACACAUGCAAGUCGAGCGGGCGUAGCAAUACGUCAGCGGCAGACGGGAGAGUAACACGUGGGAACGUGCCCUUUGGUUCGGAAUAACUCAGGGAAACUUGAGCUAAUACCGGAUAAGCCCUUCGGGGGAAAGAUUUAUUGCCAUUGGAGCGGCCCGCGUCGGAUUAGCUAGUUGGUGAGGUAAUGGCUCACCAAGGCGACGAUCCGUAGCUGGUCUGAGAGGAUGACCAGCCUCACUGGGACUGAGACACGGCCGAGAAUCCGACGGGAGGCAGCAGUGGGGAAUAUUGGACAAUGGGCGCAAGCCUGAUCCAGCCAUGCCGCGUGGAUGAUGAAGGCCCUAGGGUUGUAAAGUCCUUUUAACGGGGAAGAUAAUGACGGUACCCGUAGAAUAAGCCCCGGCUAACUUCGUGCCAGCCGCCGCGGUAAUAC